rnacentral:rRNA from 1 species
UGGAGAGUUUGAUCCUGGCUCAGGAUGAACGCUGGCGGCGUGCUUAACACAUGCAAGUCGAACGGUGAAGCCAAGCUUGCUUGGUGGAUCAGUGGCGAACGGGUGAGUAACACGUGAGCAACCUGCCCUGGACUCUGGGAUAAGCGCUGGAAACGGCGUCUAAUACUGGAUAUGAGCUCCUUCCGCAUGGUGGGGGUUGGAAAGAUUUUUCGGUCUGGGAUGGGCUCGCGGCCUAUCAGCUUGUUGGUGAGGUAAUGGCUCACCAAGGCGUCGACGGGUAGCCGGCCUGAGAGGGUGACCGGCCACACUGGGACUGAGACACGGCCCAGACUCCUACGGGAGGCAGCAGUGGGGAAUAUUGCACAAUGGGCGGAAGCCUGAUGCAGCAACGCCGCGUGAGGGAUGACGGCCUUCGGGUUGUAAACCUCUUUUAGCAGGGAAGAAGCGAAAGUGACGGUACCUGCAGAAAAAGCGCCGGCUAACUACGUGCCAGCAGCCGCGGUAAUACGUAGGGCGCAAGCGUUAUCCGGAAUUAUUGGGCGUAAAGAGCUCGUAGGCGGUUUGUCGCGUCUGCUGUGAAAUCCCGAGGCUCAACCUCGGGCCUGCAGUGGGUACGGGCAGACUAGAGUGCGGUAGGGGAGAUUGGAAUUCCUGGUGUAGCGGUGGAAUGCGCAGAUAUCAGGAGGAACACCGAUGGCGAAGGCAGAUCUUUGGGCCGUAACUGACGCUGAGGAGCGAAAGGGUGGGGAGCAAACAGGCUUAGAUACCCUGGUAGUCCACCCCGUAAACGUUGGGAACUAGUUGUGGGGACCAUUCCACGGUUUCCGUGACGCAGCUAACGCAUUAAGUUCCCCGCCUGGGGAGUACGGCCGCAAGGCUAAAACUCAAAGGAAUUGACGGGGACCCGCACAAGCGGCGGAGCAUGCGGAUUAAUUCGAUGCAACGCGAAGAACCUUACCAAGGCUUGACAUAUACGAGAACGGGCCAGAAAUGGUCAACUCUUUGGACACUCGUAAACAGGUGGUGCAUGGUUGUCGUCAGCUCGUGUCGUGAGAUGUUGGGUUAAGUCCCGCAACGAGCGCAACCCUCGUUCUAUGUUGCCAGCACGUAAUGGUGGGAACUCAUGGGAUACUGCCGGGGUCAACUCGGAGGAAGGUGGGGAUGACGUCAAAUCAUCAUGCCCCUUAUGUCUUGGGCUUCACGCAUGCUACAAUGGCCGGUACAAAGGGCUGCAAUACCGUAAGGUGGAGCGAAUCCCAAAAAGCCGGUCCCAGUUCGGAUUGAGGUCUGCAACUCGACCUCAUGAAGUCGGAGUCGCUAGUAAUCGCAGAUCAGCAACGCUGCGGUGAAUACGUUCC